rnacentral:rRNA from 1 species
CAGCAGUAGCCGCGGUAAUACGUAGGUGGCAAGCGUUGUCCGGAAUUAUUGGGCGUAAAGCGCGCGCAGGUGGUUUAAUAAGUCUGAUGUGAAAGCCCACGGCUCAACCGUGGAGGGUCAUUGGAAACUGUUAAACUUGAGUGCAGGAGAGAAAAGUGGAAUUCCUAGUGUAGCGGUGAAAUGCGUAGAGAUUAGGAGGAACACCAGUGGCGAAGGCGGCUUUUUGGCCUGUAACUGACACUGAGGCGCGAAAGCGUGGGGAGCAAACAGGAUUAGAUACCCCUGUAGUCCCUGUCUCUUAUAC